GACGAACGCUGGCGGCGUGCUUAACACAUGCAAGUCGAACGGAAAGGCCCUGCUUUUGUGGGGUGCUCGAGUGGCGAACGGGUGAGUAACACGUGAGUAACCUGCCCUUGACUUUGGGAUAACUUCAGGAAACUGGGGCUAAUACCGGAUAGGAGCUCCUGCUGCAUGGUGGGGGUUGGAAAGUUUCGGCGGUUGGGGAUGGACUCGCGGCUUAUCAGCUUGUUGGUGGGGUAGUGGCUUACCAAGGCUUUGACGGGUAGCCGGCCUGAGAGGGUGACCGGCCACAUUGGGACUGAGAUACGGCCCAGAGUCCUACGGGAGGCAGCAGUGGGGAAUAUUGCACAAUGGGAGGAAGCCUGAUGCAGCAACGCCGCGUGCGGGAUGACGGCCUUCGGGUUGUAAACCGCAUUCGCCUGUGACGAAGCGUGAGUGACGGUAAUGGGUAAAGAAGCACCGGCUAACUACGUG
rnacentral:rRNA from 1 species